rnacentral:piRNA from 1 species
UGGCAUAACAUACCCAUGUAACUUACAGGA